UUUUCUUUCAGAAAUCGCUCCAGAUCUCAAUCUUCUCUACAGAUCUGAUCGAUGAGUGUCAAUUUCUUUGUUUCUCUUCACAAUUUGUAUGUAUGGAUGUGGUGGUUGAUUAUAGGCAUGAGAGGUGAGAAUCGAUGAUUCAUUGUGAAAUAAUUUCAAUUUUUGUUGGUGCUAUGUAAAUAAAGCUUUUGCAGCUAAUUUAAUUGAAAUCACAGUAAAAAACAACCAAUAAAAUUAUUUUUGUAGUCUUUUAUUCACCCUAAGUUUCAUAUAUUAACGGAACAUAGCAAACCUUGCUCCAUGGACAUUUUGUUUCUUUACAAUUUGGUACUGCACCGUCAAUCAUAAGGAAGGUCAAGAGUUGAUUUAUAUUGCCUAAAUCCCUUUACCUAUGAUUUUGACAUGAACGGUGAAGAACAAUGGCGGGAGAGGAGAAGGUCAAGAGUCAUGUGGUUUGUCUUACCCAGGGAUUGGAAAAAGUAAAAGUUAAAUACGGUGAGAGAGAAGAUGCACAAGGGAUGAGAUACAAUGCACUUAAAAAUAUUAAAGAUCACUAUAUAGAUUGAUCUAAUGGUCAUUAUUUAUUCCUCUCACCCUCUCAUUUUAAAAGUCCUCUUACUUAAAAGUUCCCCUAUAUAUAUAUAUAUAUAUAUAUAUAUAUAUAUAUAUAUAUAUAUAGGGAGUGUAUCUGGUGAGAACUAAUAACUAUAUGAGAAAUGAGAACUAUUAUUAAUAACCAUCAGAUUUAAUUGAUGCAUCAGAUUAAAAUCUUCCUAAUUUAUUCUUAUAAUCUUUCCCGAUUUAUUAAUUUAUUAUUAACCCCGGUAAUGUAUAUCAUGCUAACACAAAUAGAAAAAAUGCAUGUGCCCAACGAAGAACUCAAUUUUGACUUGGUUUUGGCUUUGAUGAUUCUUCUUCUUGCUAUUUGGUGAAAUUAGUGAUUUACAUGCGGCUAUUUUUAAUUUUAUCUUACAUUGAUUUUUUCUGUACUAUUUAGUGAGAUUAACGCAAGUAUACGUGUUCCGCAUCAGCCAUUCAAAUAAAAAAAAAAGUGUUAUGUAUUAUAAUCUUUGUGUUAGCAUGAGAAUCAGUGAUGCAAAUCAAUAACCGUAUGAAAGUGUUCACUAAUAGUUACCUGAAACUUCGAAGCUAUUUGUGUUAGCAUGAUAUGCACUACCUCUACCUGAGUUAAUAAUAAAUUAAAUUAAGAAAGAUUAUAGGAAUAAAUUAGGAAAUAUUAUAUAUAGGAACAUUUUUCAAUUUACACAAGUAUGAUCACAUGAGGUUUUAUGUGAGAGAAUUUUAAUCUGAUACGUUAAUUAAAUCUAAGGGUUAUUAUCAAUAGUUCUCAUUUCUCAUAAUAUUUAUCAGUUCUCACCGGAUACAUUCUAUAUAUAUAUAUAUAUACUCCCUCCGUCCCAAUUUGAUCGACACAGUUGACUGUUGUGCACUAUUUACACAUGUUGCCUUGAACUUAUUUUCUACUAGUAAACAAAAAUAAAUAUUAGCAUAUGAGAUGUUUGAUUCGUUUCGAUGAGUAUUUUCAAAAUAUCAAAUUUUUAUAAUUUUUACUAUUAUACAAUUAAAAAUAUUAAUCGUCAAAGUUAUGCAUUGACAUGCGUGAAACAAUCAACUGUGUCAAUCAAAUUAGGACGGAGGAGUAUAUAAGAGUUCUAGGGUCACACCUCUAACACACUCCACUAAUAACAAGCCACAUCAUCACUUUCUUUUCUCCCUUUACCUAAUAACUGAUUCAACAGGUUGCUAAACAAAAAGGCAAUGUUUUAAGAACCGGACCGGCCGGUUCAACCGGGAACCGGACACAGCAGUGGUCCGAACUAACUAGUGCUGAGAACAGGUAGUCUGCAGAACCGGAAAAAAACCGUUUGAAACCGUUGCGAACCGUCCUGAAUCGGUGAACCGGGGGCGGUUUUAAAAAACCGGUUGGUUCGGAAUCUUUUGAAAUUAAAAAAAAAAAUCCAUUGUAUUUAACGUUUUUUUUCUUCGCUGUAACCCUAAUCUUUUGCUUUUCUGAGAGUGUGAAACGGUGGAAGGAAGUGAAAGUGUGAAACCAAACCUAUCUCAUCGCAAAACCACCACCGAUCUUGCCGAUCUCUUCGCUGCUUCAGUCUCUGCCACCACCUAUCUUCUUCUUCUUCUUCUUCUCCGCACAAACCUAUCUUCUUCAUUGUUGUUGUUGCGUCCACUGGUAAGGAUUGAGCGCCUGAACCUUUCUUCUUCUUCGUUAUUGUUAUUGCUCAAUACUGAUUUUGCAAUUAUAGUUCGGUUUAAGUUUUACUUCCUUCUUCUUACUUAUAAUUUCAAUCAAACACAUAUAUUUCAACUCUUCUGAAGGUAUAAUGAGAUCUACCAAAAUAAAUAAAUUAAAAUCAUCCAACGGAAUAACCAAAAGCUGCUUUUUUUUUCUUAUAUUAGAUGGUGGAAUGAAACAAAUUUAUCCUAUUGUUAUGUUUUGGUUUCUUAAUUUGUUUCAUAUAUUGCAUGUCAUAUGAAGAACUAAGGUUUUGUUCAAUUUUUAUGGGUUUCUUCUUUAUAUUAUUUGCUUUAGGAAAUCUUGUUUCAACACAGUUUUCAGUUUAAUAUUUUUCGGAAACAAAUUGAUUGGAACAAGAAUAAGUGCUUCAUGUAAAUUCAGAUUGGAAAAGGGUUCUUUUUUUCUUAUAUUACAGUGAAAAAAAUAAAUUGUUUUAGUUUCUAAUUUGUGCUUUGUUUGUUUUAGGUUUUUAAAGUUUCUAUUUUGUUAGUUUGUUUAUCAGCUGUGAAGUAGAAUAAUUAUUUUAAACCAAUUUUACUAAUUUGUUGCUUUGUUUACCAAUUUAAAGCUUAUUUUCUAUUUCAGAAAAUUAUGUCGACAUCAGCAUCAACUUCUGUUGCUCAAUCUUCACAAGCAGCUCCUCCAACACAAGCUGAUGACUCUAUGCAAUCAUGUCGACAAAAGUCAGACCCUGCUUGGUGAUGUAAAAAUUUGCAAAACAGUGGAUGCAGAUACCAGAUUUAGGAUGCUCGAGAGUUUGAAUGAAACUUCAACAAAGAAGAAGA
rnacentral:lncRNA from 1 species